CUACGGGCCGCUCCAGUGGGGAAUAUUGCACAAUGGAGGAAACUCUGAUGCAGCAACGCCGCGUGGAGGAUGACACUUUUCGGAGCGUAAACUCCUUUUAUAUAGGAAGAAGAUGACGGUACUAUAUGAAUAAGCGCCGGCUAACUCCGUGCCAGCAGCCGCGGUAAUACGGAGGGCGCAAGCGUUACUCGGAAUCACUGGGCGUAAAGAGGGUGUAGGCGGAUUAAAAAGUCAGAAGUGAAAUCCUAUAGCUUAACUAUAGAACUGCUUCUGAAACUCUUAAUCUAGAAUAUGGGAGAGGUAGAUGGAAUUUCUGGUAUAGGGGUAAAAUCCGUAGAGAUCAGAAGGAAUACCGAUUGCGAAGGUGAUCUACUAGAACAUUAUUGACGCUGAGACGCGAAAGCGUGGGGAGCAAACAGGAUUAAUACCCGCGUAGUC
rnacentral:rRNA from 1 species